rnacentral:lncRNA from 10 species
CGACUGAUGAUGGCUGGCAACCCCUAGGUAGCUUCAGGAUGGGGGCUGGUCACCGGAAAGACCAAGGCAGGAUUAGAGUUUGGGACUUUCAGUCCCACCCCCCGACCUCCGGGGAGGAGAGAGGGAUUGAAGGUUAAGUUGAUCUUCAAUGGCCAAUGAUUUAAUCAAUCAUGCCUGUGUAAUGAAGCCUUCAUAAAAACCUAAAAAAGGACGGGGUUUGGAGAGCUUCCUGUAAGCGAACCCGUGAAGGUUCCAGGAGGAUGGCGCACCCGGAAAGGGCGUGGAAGCUCCGCGCCCCUUCCCACAGACUUUCCCCCAUCCAUCUCUUCAUCUGGUGUUCAUCGAUAGCCUUUGUAAUGUCCUUAAUAGUAAACCGGAAAACAUGUACACCUAACAGCAUGGUAAGGAAGCCCCAGAAGGAUGUUUCUAAAGACCAUGAGGGAGUCUGAAACCUGAAAUCAUGCCAAGGACUCUCUGCUUCUCUUUCACUUGGGGUGUCUAUCUGAUGCUGCCACAACCAGUUGAAACGUAUAACAUUAACAAUAAAAAUUAGUUUUUUUGUAACUAAUUUUAU